rnacentral:rRNA from 1 species
CCCGCUGAACUUAAGCAUAUCAAUAAGCGGAGGAAAAGAAACUAACAAGGAUUCCCCUAGUAACGGCGAGUGAAGCGGGAAGAGCUCAAAUUUGUAAUCUGGCACUUUCAGUGUCCGAGUUGUAAUCUCGAGAAGUGUUUUCCGCGCUGGACCGCAUACAAGUCUGUUGGAAUACAGCGUCAUAGUGGUGAGAACCCCGUAACUGAUGCGGAUGCCCAGUGCUUUGUGAUACACUUUCGAAGAGUCGAGUUGUUUGGGAAUGCAGCUCAAAUUGGGUGGUAAAUUCCAUCUAAAGCUAAAUAUUGGCGAGAGACCGAUAGCGAACAAGUACCGUGAGGGAAAGAUGAAAAGCACCUUGGAAAGGGAGUUAACAGUACGUGAAAUUGUUGGAAGGGAAACGCUUGAAGUCAGACUUGCUAUGUGGAUUUAUUCGCUUCGCAGGCCAGCAUCAGUUUCUGGGGGUGGAAAAGGGUUUGGAGAAGGUAGCAACUCCGGUUGUGUUAUAGCUCCUUGCUGGAUUCAUCUUUGGGGACUGAGGAACGCAGCGCGCUUUUUGCAAGGCUUUCGAGCUUUUCGCGCUUAGGAUGCUGGUGGAAUGGCUUUAAACGACCCGUCUUGAAACACGG